UGGCUUGUGGCUCGGUGAUAGAGCACUUGCCUAGCAUGUAUGAGUCUCUGGGUUCAAUUCUCAGCACCACAU
rnacentral:tRNA from 1 species